GAUGAACGCUGGCGGCGUGCCUAAUACAUGCAAGUCGAGCGAACGGACGAGAAGCUUGCUUCUCUGAUGUUAGCGGCGGACGGGUGAGUAACACGUGGAUAACCUACCUAUAAGACUGGGAUAACUUCGGGAAACCGGAGCUAAUACCGGAUAAUAUUUUGAACCGCAUGGUUCAAAAGUGAAAGACGGUCUUGCUGUCACUUAUAGAUGGAUCCGCGCUGCAUUAGCUAGUUGGUAAGGUAACGGCUUACCAAGGCAACGAUGCAUAGCCGACCUGAGAGGGUGAUCGGCCACACUGGAACUGAGACACGGUCCAGACUCCUACGGGAGGCAGCAGUAGGGAAUCUUCCGCAAUGGGCGAAAGCCUGACGGAGCAACGCCGCGUGAGUGAUGAAGGUCUUCGGCUCGAAAAACUCUGUUAUUAGGGAAGAACAUAUGUGUAAGUAACUGUGCACCUCUUGACGGUACCUAAUCAGAAAGCCACGGCUAACUACGUG
rnacentral:rRNA from 1 species